CACGUAGGGGACGAGCGUUGUUCGGAAUUACUGGGCGUAAAGCGCGUGUAGGCGGCCCUGCAAGUCGGAUGUGAAAUCCCACGGCUCAACCGUGGAAGUGCAUUCGAAACUGCAGGGCUAGAGUCCUGGAGAGGAAGGUGGAAUGCUUGGUGUAGAGGUGAAAUUCGUAGAUAUCAAGCGGAACACCGGUGGCGAAGGCGGCCUUCUGGACAGUGACUGACGCUGAGACGCGAAAGCGUGGGGAGCAAACAGG
rnacentral:rRNA from 1 species